GGGUAGCAAUAUUCUGUGGUCGGAGCGGCGCAAGGGUGCGUAACACGUGGGUAAUCUGCCAUGAAGUUUGGAAUAACUUGCUGAAAGGCGAGCUAAUACCGGAUGUGACAAUUGGUUGGCAUCAAUUGAUUGUCAAAGCUGGGGACCGUAAGGCCUGGCGCUUCAUGAUGAGCCCGCGGCCUAUCAGUUAGUUGGUGAGGUAACGGCUCACCAAGGCUAAGACGGGUAGCUGGUCUGAGAGGACGACCAGCCACACUGGAACUGAGACACGGUCCAGACACCUACGGGUGGCAGCAGUCGAGAAUUUUUCACAAUGGGCGCAAGCCUGAUGGAGCGACGCCGCGUGGGGGAUGAAUGGCUUCGGCCCGNAAACCCCUGUCAUUUGCGAGCAAUUCGCAUUAUUUAAAAGAUGAUGCGUUGAUAGUAGCGAAAGAGGAAGGGACGGCUAACUCUGUGCCAGCAGCCGCGGUAAUACAGAGGUCCCAAACGUUGUUCGGAUUCACUGGGCGUAAAGGGUGCGUAGGUGGCGAGGUAAGUCGGAUGUGAAAGCUCGGAGCUCAACUCCGAAAUGGCAUUGGAAACUACCUUGCUCGAGGGUUGGAGGGGGGGAACUGGAAUGCUUGGUGUAGCAGUGAAAUGCGUAGAUAUCAAGCGGAACACCAGUGGCGAAGGCGAGUCCCUGGACAACUCCUGACACUGAGGCACGAAAGCUAGGGGAGCAAACAGGAUUAGAUACCCUGGUAGUCCUAGCCGUAAACGGUGCUUGCUUGCUGU
rnacentral:rRNA from 1 species